rnacentral:rRNA from 1 species
AAAAGAUGGUUCUGCUAUCACUCUUGGAUGGACCUGCGGUGCAUUAGCUAGUUGGUAAGGUAACGGCUUACCAAGGCAAUGAUGCAUAGCCGAGUUGAGAGACUGAUCGGCCACAUUGGGACUGGGACACGGCCCAAACUCCUACGGGAGGCAGCAGUAGGGAAUCUUCCACAAUGGACGCAAGUCUGAUGGAGCAACGCCGCGUGAGUGAAGAAGGGUUUCGGCUCGUAAAGCUCUGUUGGUAGUGAAGAAAGAUAGAGGUAGUAACUGGCCUUUAUUUGACGGUAAUUACCUAGAAAGUCACGGCUAACUACGUGCCAGCAGCCGCGGUAAUACGUAGGUGGCAAGCGUUGUCCGGAUUUAUUGGGCGUAAAGCGAGUGCAGGCGGUUCAAUAAGUCUGAUGUGAAAGCCUUCGGCUCAACCGGAGAAUUGCAUCAGAAACUGUUGAACUUGAGUGCAGAAGAGGAGAGUGGAACUCCAUGUGUAGCGGUGGAAUGCGUAGAUAUAUGGAAGAACACCAGUGGCGAAGGCGGCUCUCUGGUCUGCAACUGACGCUGAGGCUCGAAAGCAUGGGUAGCGAACAGGAUUAGAUACCCUGGUAGUCCAUGCCGUAAACGAUGAGUGCUAAGUGUUGGGAGGUUUCCG